UCUCCGUAGGUGAACCUGCGGAGGGAUCAUUACCGAGUGCGCGCCCCCCGGGGCCGACCUCCAACCCAUUGUUAUCCGACCACGUUGCCUCGGGGGCGACCCGGCCGUUUGGCCCCGGGGCCCCCGGUGGAAACCCAUCAAAACUCUGCAUCUCUGGCGUCUGAGUAGAAAUUGAAUCAAUCAAAACUUUCAACAACGGAUCUCUUGGUUCUGGCAUCGAUGAAGAACGCAGC
rnacentral:misc_RNA from 1 species